rnacentral:tRNA from 1 species
GGAUGGUCCAGUUGGUUAAGACGUCCGCUUGACACGCGGAAGAUCGGGAGUUCGAAUCU